rfam:Subdoligranulum sp. CAG:314 genomic scaffold, scf34
AUGUGAUAGGCGGGGAGCUAGCGGUGCCCUGUUACACGCAAUCCGCUACAGCGUGGCCGAAUGCCAAGGAAGGCAAGCAUUGUGGGAGGCAGGAACAGGUAAGGAGCGUUGAUAACAGGGUCUCGUGCAACGGCGAGCCGUGAACCAUGUCAGGGCGGAAGCAGCAGCAUUAAGCGGAUUUCACUGUGUGCCACGAGGGUGCUUUGGAGGAGCCGCCUGCCCGGAUACCGCUCCGGCUUUGCUUGUCGACCUUGGAUUCACAU